AUACGUAGGGGGCGAGCGUUGUCCGGAAUGAUUGGGCGUAAAGGGCGCGUAGGCGGCCCGGUAAGUCUGGAGUGAAAGUCCUGUUUUUAAGAUGGGAAUUGCUUUGGAUACUGUCGGGCUUGAGUGCAGGCGAGGUAAGUGGAAUUCCCAGUGUAGCGGUGAAAUGCGUAGAGAUUGGGAGGAACACCAGUGGCGAAGGCGACUUACUGGACUGUAACUGACGCUGAGGCGCGAAAGUGUGGGGAGCAAACAGGAUUAGAUACCCUGGUAGUCCACACUGUAAACGAUGAAUGCUAGGUGUAGGGGGUAUCGACCCCUUCUGUGCCGCAGUCAACACAAUAAGCAUUCCGCCUGGGGAGUACGGCCGCAAGGUUGAAACUCAAAUGAAUUGACGGGG
rnacentral:rRNA from 1 species